rnacentral:SRP_RNA from 1 species
UCUGGGUGGGUGUGGCAGUAUGCACCUGUAGUCUCAGCUACUUGGGAGGCUGAGUCGAGAGGAUCACGAGUUCAGGAGUUCUGGGCUGGAGUGUGCUAUGUGAAUCAGGUGUCCACACUAAAUUUGGCAUCAAUAUGGUGGCCUCCCAGGAGCAAGAGACCACCAGGUUGCCUAAGGAGGGGUGAACUGGCCCAGGUUGGAAAUGGAGCAGGUCAAAACUCCCGUGCUGAUCAGUAGUGGGAUUGUGCCUGUGAAUAGCCACUGCACUCCAGCCUGGGCAACAUAGCGAGACCUCCAUCUC